rnacentral:misc_RNA from 1 species
UCCGGUUUAUCACCGGCAGUCCCCCAGAUUUAGCCCAGGUAAGGUUCUUCGCGUUGCAUCGAAUUAAGCCACAUGCUCCACCGCUUGUGCGGGCCCCCGUCAAUUCCUUUGAGUUUCAUUCUUGCGAACGUACUCCCCAGGUGGUAUGCUUACUGCGUUAACUGCGUCACUGCCCCCGAAGGGACAACAACUAGCAUACAUCGUUUACGGCGUGGACUAC